AAACCAGCACCUCAAGUGGUCAGGAGGAUUAUUGGGCCUAAAGCAUCCGUAGCCUGUUCUGUAAGUUUUCGGUUAAAUCCAUUAGCUCAACUAGUGGGCUGCCGAAAAUACUGUAGAACUAGGGAGUGGGAGAGGUAGACGGUAUUCGGUAGGAAGGGGUAAAAUCCUUUGAUCUAUUGAGGACCACCUGUGGCGAAGGCGGUCUACCAGAACACGUUCGACGGUGAGGGAUGAAAGCUGGGGGAGCAAACCGGAUUAGAAACCCGGGUAGUCC
rnacentral:rRNA from 1 species